GUUUAGAUCUUGAAAAGGAUGUUGUUCUUCAAUGGCUGCCUUGAGUUUACCGUCUCUACCAAAUGUCCUUAUCUCAGACACUUGUGGAGAAGCUUAUGGUCUCUGUCAAAGCUGCAGAGCCUUUUCCUUCAAUCGUUUCAGCAUCUAAAACUAUUGCAGUGGUUUCAUCUGGAUGUGUGGAGAUCACGGAGAUGCCAUACAUUUGAC